GGGGGCGAGUCAGCUUCGACAUCGGGCGAUCCGGACGAGGACGCGAGCCGGGGGGCCGGGCCCCGUCAACAACACGGCGUUCCUUACCUGCCAACCGCAACAGCGAACUGGCACUCGCGGCGUAACGCCGCGACGUCCCGGGACCCGCAGGCCCGCGGCGACCUGAGGACGUAACGUAGCGGGAUGCCGCACGCGGAUGCCCGGCCGCGGGCGAAAGACGCAUCCGGGCUGGGAAGGCGGACGACCCCGUCCUCGGGGGCGCCGCGGACGACAAGCGUACGAGGACUACGCUCGUAGGGGAUUCGUCGGGAUGCCCGGUGGACCGGGGGGGCAGUUCCCCCGCGCCUCCACCA
rnacentral:tmRNA from 1 species